rnacentral:rRNA from 1 species
GACCACGACUACGCCUCGUUGGAAAAACCGGUUUUCUUCUGAUCGCAGGAGUUAAGCAACUUCGAGCCCGGGCAGUACUUGCGUGGAUGACCGGCUGGGAAUACCGGGUGUCGCGGCCG